rnacentral:rRNA from 1 species
CGCCAGCAGCCGCGGUAAUACGGAGGAUGCAAGCGUUAUCCGGAUUCAUUGGGUUUAAAGGGUGCGUAGGCGGCUUUUUAAGUCAGUGGUGAAAUCCUGCCGCUUAACGGUAGAAUUGCCAUUGAUACUGAAAGGCUUGAGUUCAGUUGAGGUAAGCGGAAUGUGUAGUGUAGCGGUGAAAUGCUUAGAUAUUACACAGAACACCAAUUGCGAAGGCAGCUUACUAAACUGACACUGACGCUGAUGCACGAAAGCGUGGGGAGCGAACAGGAUUAGAUACCCUGGUAGUCCACGCCGUAAACGAUGUUCACUCGCUGUUUGCGAUACACAGCAAGCGGCCAAGCGAAAGCAUUAAGUGAACCACCUGGGGAGUACGAUCGCAAGGUUGAAACUCAAAGGAAUUGACGGGGGCCCGCACA